GACGAACGCUGGCGGCGUGCUUAACACAUGCAAGUCGAACGGAAAGGCCCUGCUUUUGUGGGGUGCUCGAGUGGCGAACGGGUGAGUAACACGUGAGUAACCUGCCCUUGACUUUGUGAUAACUUCAGGAAACUGGGGCUAAUACCGGAUAGGAGCUCCUGCUGCAUGGUGGGGGUUGGAAAGUUUCGGCGGUUGGGGAUGGACUCGCGGCUUAUCAGCUUGUUGGUGGGGUAGUGGCUUACCAAGGCUUUGACGGGUAGCCGGCCUGAGAGGGUGACCGGCCACAUUGGGACUGAGAUACGGCCCAGCAUCCUACGGGAGGCAGCAGUGGGGAAUAUUGCACAAUGGGCGGAAGCCUGAUGCCGCAACGCCGCGUGCGGGAUGACGGCAUUCGGGUUGUAAACCGCUUUCGCCUGUGACGAAGCGUGAGUGACGGUAAUGGGUAAAGAAGCACCGGCUAACUACGUG
rnacentral:rRNA from 1 species